rnacentral:lncRNA from 1 species
UGGAGAUGUUAAUGACAGGCUUCAGUUCAUGCCACAGGUGUUUGUGUUCAAGUAUCAGAAUAUGUGAUUGAAACUUGUUCCAUAAACACUCCCAUAGCAAGACAGCCAAGCUAAGGGCUGUUUGCAGUAUGGAUUUGGUUCUGUCAAACAGCUAUGUUGAGAAGAAUUAUUUCUUUUGGUUUCUUUGUGUAGGGAUCUAGACUUUGGUCUUCCACCUGAAGCCAAUCUCUUGGCUGUGGGAUGUUUGCCAUUACCAUUUGAGCUUCCUGCUUCCCACUUUACUUAAGGGAAUCUGAGAAAGAACAUUGCCUUGAAGAGUUCUUUCAGAGUCACAGCACAGCUUCCCAGAACCCCCUACUAGCAGGAACCUUCCCUUGAAGUUCCCCAUCUACAUGAAACCCACUGCAUUGCCGGCCUUUCGGAGCUGGCAGGCUGUCCUGGAGCUGCGGGUGGAGCCGGUCUUGAUGGCCACAGGCUGAGUGGAGUGAGAAGAAGAAAUGAAGUGGCCGAGCACCGCCAGAGCCGGAGGAAGGAGUAAGAAGUCCCGGAACUUCUUUCCUCCCGGGGCGCUGCCUCGACAGCAACACAUUGCAGUUUCUUUUGUGGGAAAUCCGGAGUCCAGCCUGGGUCCUGGAGGCACCUGUGGUCUUCCUUGAGGUUCACUACAAUGGGACAGACUGCAUGGAGGCCUGAAUUUAAUCGAUUCACCUGGAGGGUCGUGAUCAAGGCACCAAGAGGUGAUGUAGAAGAACAUUCGCAUGUCACAAUUCACAGCAGCCUUGAACCGAAGAGGGCAGAUUCCCCACCUGAAGCUCCGUGGGAAAGCACACGGCAGGCUGUGCAUAAAACGCCCCUCUGCAUCGUCACCAAAUGGAAUGAGUGGGUGACUCUCAGCACUAGUGCAGAAGGAAAGGCACUGAUGAUGACAGCAUGUGUGACAAUGGCACAGCACCCGUGGGAGUCAGAAACAGGUACCUGGGAGGAUUACCUUGGAAACAAAGGUAUGAAGCUUCACAGUGGGAAAGAAAGGGGCCGUAGCAGAUGAGUAGCAAUGGUCUUUCUGGUUACUGACAGGGUUGUGUUCCUUAACCUGCUGGGGUAUUUAAACAGGAGUUUAGCUGUGAUCUAUAAAAGAGCUGUUUGUGCCCUUUCUGUAUAUGCAUGUUUCAUUCAACAGUAAGUGG